rnacentral:rRNA from 1 species
AUGGAGAAGCUAUAUGCCUCUGGCAAGGCCCGAGCAAUCGGUGUGAGUAACUUUGCUUGCAAGAAGAUGGAGGACUUGCUUGCCGUUGCACGCGUGCCUCCAUCAGUCAACCAGGUUGAGUGUCAUCCGAUUUGGCAGCAAGACAAGCUCCGCAAACUAUGCCAGUCGAGGGGUGUUCAUCUUUCUGCAUAUUCGCCAUUAGGUUCGCCUGGAUCACCCCUAUCUGUGGUCAGGGGCUAG